AUUGAACGCUGGCGGCAUGCCUUACACAUGCAAGUCGAACGGUAACAGGUCUUCGGAUGCUGACGAGUGGCGAACGGGUGAGUAAUACAUCGGAACGUGCCUAGUAGUGGGGGAUAACUACUCGAAAGAGUGGCUAAUACCGCAUGAGAUCUACGGAUGAAAGCAGGGGAUCGCAAGACCUUGUGCUAAUAGAGCGGCCGAUGGCAGAUUAGGUAGUUGGUAGGAUAAAAGCUUACCAAGCCGACGAUCUGUAGCUGGUCUGAGAGGACGAUCAGCCACACUGGGACUGAGAAACGGCCCAGACUCCUACGGGAGGCAGCAGUGGGGAAUUUUGGACAAUGGGCGCAAGCCUGAUCCAGCAAUGCCGCGUGCAGGAUGAAGGCCUUCGGGUUGUAAACUGCUUUUGUACGGAACGAAAAGCCCUGGGUUAAUACCCUGGGGUCAUGACGGUACCGUAAGAAUAAGCACCGGCUAACUACGUGCCAGCAGCCGCGGUAACAC
rnacentral:rRNA from 1 species